GCUGGGUGUGGUGGUGGGCACCUGUAAUCCCAGCUACUCAGGAGGCUGAGGCAGGAGAAUCGCUUGAACCCAGGAGGCAGAGGUUGCAGUGAGCUGAGAUCAAGCCAUGGCACUUCAGCCUGGGUGACAGAGUGAGACUCUGUCUCAA
rnacentral:SRP_RNA from 1 species